rnacentral:rRNA from 1 species
UGGGGAAUAUUGCACAAUGGGCGCAAGCCUGAUGCAGCCAUGCCGCGUGUAUGAAGAAGGCCUUCGGGUUGUAAAGUACUUUCAGCGGGGAGGAAGGGAGUAAAGUUAAUACAUGUGCUCAUUGACGUUACCCGCAGAAGAAGCACCGGCUAACUCCGUGCCAGCAGCCGCGGUAAUACGGAGGGUGCAAGCGUUAAUCGGAAUUACUGGGCGUAAAGCGCACGCAGGCGGUUUGUUAAGUCAGAUGUGAAAUCCUCGGGCUCAACCUGGGUACUGCAUCUGAUACUGGCAAGCUUGAGUCUCGUAGAGGGGGGUAGAAUUCCAGGUGUAGCGGUGAAAUGCGUAGAGAUCUGGAGGAAUACCGGUGGCGAAAGCGGCCCCCUGGACGAAGACUGACGCUCAGGUGCGAAAGCGUGGGGAGCAAACAGG